UUCAAGAUCAACUCACACCUCUGUAUGUGGCAGUAUUGUUGUCAUUUCAAUGAGGGGGAUUUCUGAGGUGAUGGACAAUAAUUGACAGUUGGCAUAAUGGCAUUCUGAAAUGUCCACUGCUUUGCUUCUGGAAGUGAAAAUAGAGUUGGAUUGUGAAGUGGAGUGUUGGUGAGAGGUGGGGGCAAAAGAGGGAGGUGUUCUAAUGCAAGCAGCUCUCAACAUGCGUGUGCAGACUGGAAGAGUGGAUGUGUAGCUCCUUCGGUUGACUGUCCCCUGUGUCACUGAACUUAAGGAGCUGUUGCUGAGAGAAAUGUCUUCUUUACAGGGUAGCUGAUGGGAACUGAAGAGAUGAAACCAGGCCUCACUGAUUCAGAGAUAGGAUGGAAGUGCAUGAAGCACUGUAAAUAAACUACAGUAUAUGACUUGCAGCUCCACAGGCAGCUUGUGUGAUCAUUAUGCUGGAAGAUUUUUAGGGAGCAGUUGCAAGGCAGAGUACAAGCGAAUGAUGGAGAUGUUACAAGACUUGGGCUUUUGUGAUGUGAGAUGGCAGUUUCUCUGGAGCCACCAUCUGCUGAGAGGGUCAGGCAGCAUGUAGGGUUCAAAUCUCCUGGAUUCUGCCUGCUUCCCAGCUGCCAUGCCCAAGCAUCUCCGAAAUCCACACACAACCGCACUUGCACACCUCAUUAUUAUCACACAUACUCGCAGACACCCAUAAUCCCAGGCAUGCUGUGCUGCUGAAACCAUUCUCAUCAGGGCUGACACUAAAGAAUGUUGGGAUUCUUGUCUUGAGGUACCCGAGUUACCUCCUCCCUCUUCGGGUUUGUGCAGAAUCCACACAUUCUGUUGAAGCCAUGCGCCCACACUACAUCAGCUCUGCAUGUGACCACUGCUCCACUGUGCUCUAUUCAGCAUGGUGACCCAAACUUUGCUCACAUUCCAUAAACUUUCUUUGGCCCAUUUUGCCCAGCAGCCUGUACCUCAACCCUUUCUACACGCCCCAAGCCAGAGGAGAGAAAACAGUCUUCCAUAUUUUUUAGUAAAAGCUGCUUGUCACAAUUUUUUGUGGUCCAUAUAUCAUGUGCCUGUUUUCUGUGCUGUUCCCUAGGCCAAACUCUUACUCGGUCCAACCCUGUGAGGAUUUGUUUUGGAUGUUUUUUCAAGUGAUUUAUUUUUUUGCCAUUAUUCUAUUAGCUUCAAACCACAACUGUAAGGUUAAGUUUCUCUAAGCUUUGCACAGCCCCUCAAGGGCACUUAUUAAAUUAAAACUGUAUUGCUCCGCAUUGAAAAA